UAGGGAAUCUUCGGCAAUGGGGGCAACCCUGACCGAGCAACGCCGCGUGAGUGAAGAAGGUUUUCGGAUCGUAAAGCUCUGUUGUAAGAGAAGAACGUGUGUGAGAGUGGAAAGUUCACACAGUGACGGUAACUUACCAGAAAGGGACGGCUAACUACGUGCCAGCAGCCGCGGUAAUACGUAGGUCCCGAGCGUUGCCCGGAUUUAUUGGGCGUAAAGCGAGCGCAGGCGGUUUAAUAAGUCUGAAGUUAAAGGCAGUGGCUUAACCAUUGUUCGCUUUGGAAACUGUUAAACUUGAGUGCAGAAGGGGAGAGUGGAAUUCCAUGUGUAGCGGUGAAAUGCGUAGAUAUAUGGAGGAACACCGGUGGCGAAAGCGGCUCUCUGGUCUGUAACUGACGCUGAGGCUCGAAAGCGUGGGGAGCAAACAGG
rnacentral:rRNA from 1 species